AGAGUUUGAUCUUGGCUCAGGACGAACGCUGGCGGCGUGCCUAAUACAUGCAAGUCGAGCGAGCAGAACCAGCAGAUUUACUUCGGUAAUGACGCUGGGGACGCGAGCGGCGGAUGGGUGAGUAACACGUGGGGAACCUGCUCCAUAGUCUGGGAUACCACUUGGAAACAGGUGCUAAUACCGGAUAAGAAAGCAGAUCGCAUGAUCAGCUUAUAAAAGGCGGCGUAAGCUGUCGCUAUGGGAUGGCCCCGCGGUGCAUUAGCUAGUUGGUAAGGUAACGGCUUACCAAGGCGAUGAUGCAUAGCCGAGUUGAGAGACUGAUCGGCCACAUUGGGACUGAGACACGGCCCAAACUCCUACGGGAGGCAGCAGUAGGGAAUCUUCCACAAUGGACGCAAGUCUGAUGGAGCAACGCCGCGUGAGUGAAGAAGGUUUUCGGAUCGUAAAGCUCUGUUGUUGGUGAAGAAGGAUAGAGGUAGUAACUGGCCUUUAUUUGACGGUAAUCAACCAGAAAGUCACGGCUAACUACGUGCCAGCAGCCGCGGUAAUACGUAGGUGGCAAGCGUUGUCCGGAUUUAUUGGGCGUAAAGCGAGCGCAGGCGGAAAAAUAAGUCUGAUGUGAAAGCCCUCGGCUUAACCGAGGAACUGCAUCGGAAACUGUUUUUCUUGAGUGCAGAAGAGGAGAGUGGAACUCCAUGUGUAGCGGUGGAAUGCGUAGAUAUAUGGAAGAACACCAGUGGCGAAGGCGGCUCUCUGGUCUGCAACUGACGCUGAGGCUCGAAAGCAUGGGUAGCGAACAGGAUUAGAUACCCUGGUAGUCC
rnacentral:rRNA from 1 species